UAAAAUGUUUUCUUGGAAGUUUUAUAAGCAUUUUCAACUGAAUUAGGAUUAUUUUCCACCGCUGAAUCCAAAAAUGACAUCCAUUUUACUCAAUCAUGUCAGAUUUUAAUUCUAAUUUGAUUUAGAGAAAUCUGAUCUCCUGACUGAAUUGAUGACAUUUUUGAACAUUAUCAGAUAAUUUCUGCUAAUAUUUCUCAUCCAAAAAAGGUCUUAGAAGAAAAAAAAAUUUCCAACUGAGUGUAUUAAUUAAAUGUUACAAACUUGUAUUUCUGUAAAUUGAAUAAUAAACACUGAUAAGGGUAAAUACAUGUGAAUUGAACAUUUCGUCUUCAUUGUGUAAAAUUCUCUGUCUCUUUUCUGUCCUGAUGGAAUCUCCUCCUGCUCAUCACUCACUGAUCCAGAUUCUCAGGAAACCGAUCCAGAUGUGAGAACAAGUCAUGCAUUUUGAUGCUCAUGUUGCUCCAUAAUUCAGAAAGUUGACCCGAUUGAAUAAAAUCAGUGUGACUUUUGGAUUCUCACAUCAACAUGGCCCUAAAACAGUUGAAAAACUCCAGACAACUUUUUUGCUGUUGAUGUAUUAAGCUUCAUUUUCUCUGAAAUCUUAAUAUUACAUACAACUGAUGAAAAGGGAUUUUAAAAACCAAAAUGCCUGUCUACAGGACAGUAUGUCUAUUUCUCCAAAGUUUCUGCACUAAGUACUUGGUCAGUGGGAUGGAGAGAAUUACCCGAAAUAAGCAGUAGAAAUGUAUAAUUGUUUGUCAUGAGUCUGUGUAUGACUUUCUUUGUUUCAACUAAAAUAAACUGACUGGAAGUAAAUUUGAGUUAUUUCCAUGGACCUGUACUUAACUGUAUAAGUUCUAUUAACCUCCCAUUUUAUUUUUACCAUCAACUAUUAAUAAUCCAACC